rnacentral:misc_RNA from 1 species
AAAAAACCUUCCCAGAUGGGAAGGUAGGUUCUUCUGGAAAUUUUCUCAGUAGGGAAGAAAUGGAGCUGUUAUUGCAAAAACUGGAGAAAGAUUUAAACGACAUGCGCCGUGAAAGGGAUAAAGCAGUGCAAGAAUUGACUCGUCUUAAGCAGCAUUUAUUAGAAAAGGUUGUCAUCUAAUGAAAUCUUAUUUCCUUUUUAAUCUUCUAUGGCCUGUUUUCUUUUCUUUGGUGAUUCUGUAAUUUCAAUUAUUUUCUGGGAUUUGCAUAUUCGUCAAAGAUUCACCUACAAUACUCUUAUUGAAGUUAAGAUAUGCUGGAUGAGUGAUCUUUCUUGCUCAUAAUCUCUACUGUAAAAUUAGCACUGCUUUAAUGGCAUGAAUGAUUAAAGGCAUUUUUAAGGACCAAAUAUACUCGUCAACAAUUGCAUAUAAAAAAAAAAAAAUGAAAGGAAAGAACUAAUAGAUACAAUCGCAGUUGUAGUUUCACUGUUUUGCUUGUACUUACGCUUUGUACUAUGCCAGAAUCUGAACAAGGAAUUCAGUCAUUGUGAUAAUUGUUUCUCGUCAUUGUACUUUAGAGAUACAUUGAUCUGUGUUUUCCUGUGAAAUUCAAUUUGCUCAAAAACUUUCAUCUGAUAUUUCCAUGCUAACUUUCUGUCACAUACAUGUGUUUUGCUGCAUUUAUACCAUCUUUCUUCGUACACAUUUAUGCAUAAUGAAUAUGGAUUGAAUUGCUGGUAAAAACAGUUAUCAUCUUUAUGUUGUCUUGAUAUUUGGAUUAUUGCAUCUUAAGUUAAAUUCUGCAGAUGAUACUCAAGAUAAAGAUUUUAUUAUUAUUAUUAUUA